rnacentral:rRNA from 1 species
CCAGGCUAAUACCCCAUACGUCCUACGGGAGAAAGGGGGCUUCGGCUCCCGCUAUUGGAUGAGCCUAUGUCGGAUUAGCUAGUUGGUGAGGUAAAGGCUCACCAAGGCAACGAUCCGUAGCUGGUCUGAGAGGAUGAUCAGCCACAUCGGGACUGAGACACGGCCCGAACUCCUACGGGAGGCAGCAGUGGGGAAUAUUGGACAAUGGGGGCAACCCUGAUCCAGCCAUGCCGCGUGCGUGAAGAAGGCCCUCGGGUUGUAAAGCACUUUCAGCGAGGAAGAACGCCUAGCGGUUAAUACCCGUUAGGAAAGACAUCACUCGCAGAAGAAGCACCGGCUAACUCCGUGCCAGCAGCCGCGGUAAUACGGAGGGUGCAAGCGUUAAUCGGAAUUACUGGGCGUAAAGCGCGCGUAGGUGGCUUGAUAAGCCGGUUGUGAAAGCCCCGGGCUCAACCUGGGAACGGCAUCCGGAACUGUCAGGCUAGAGUGCAGGAGAGGAAGGUAGAAUUCCCGGUGUAGCGGUGAAAUGCGUAGAGAUCGGGAGGAAUACCAGUGGCGAAGGCGGCCUUCUGGACUGACACUGACACUGAGGUGCGAAAGCGUGGGUAGCAAACAGGAUUAGAUACCCUGGUAGUCCACGCCGUAAACGAUGUCGACCAGCCGUUGGGUGCCUAGAGCACUUUGUGGCGAAGUUAACGCGAUAAGUCGACCGCCUGGGGAGUACGGCCGCAAGGUUAAAACUCAAAUGAAUUGACGGGGGCCCGCACAAGCGGUGGAGCAUGUGGUUUAAUUCGAUGCAACGCGAAGAACCUUACCUACCCUUGACAUCUACAGAAGCCGGAAGAGAUUCUGGUGUGCCUUCGGGAACUGUAAGACAGGUGCUGCAUGGCUGUCGUCAGCUCGUGUUGUGAAAUGUUGGGUUAAGUCCCGUAACGAGCGCAACCCUUGUCCUUAUUUGCCAGCACGUAAUGGUGGGAACUCUAAGGAGACUGCCGGUGACAAACCGGAGGAAGGUGGGGACGACGUCAAGUCAUCAUGGCCCUUACGGGUAGGGCUACACACGUGCUACAAUGGCCGGUACAAAGGGCUGCGAGCUCGCGAGAGUCAGCGAAUCCCUUAAAGCCGGUCUCAGUCCGGAUCGGAGUCUGCAACUCGACUUCGUGAAGUCGGAAUCGCUAGUAAUCGUGAAUCAGAAUGUCACGGUGAAUACGUUCCCGGGCCUU